rnacentral:lncRNA from 1 species
GCCGGGGAGGGGCGGGCACGGUGCAGCGCCGCCUCCCGUUCGCCUCUGCGCCUGGCCCGGCGACUGCGGGCGCUGCGGUCCACUGGGUCCGCCUCUUCCCGGCAUGGGUUUCUGCCCAGCUCACCCGCUGUCAGCUGGGGUCCUGCUCUGGUGGGAGGAAGAGGCUCAGACGCUUCCCUGCCCUCUCGCCUCAACCACCUCGAGGCAGCGGCUCCCAGGAUGUGCACUUUGACGACUAAAGCUGAGCCGGCGCCGCCACGACCUUGGGCGGGUGGUCGGCCUCUGCCCUGAGCAGGAAGUAGAAAGUCUCAGCAGACCCUUCCUGAGGGCCGAGCAACAGUGUAGUGGCGUAUUCCACAUAGCAAACAGGGACCCUGGGAGCAUCUGUGUUCUCGUGUUCUUCUUGCCUGUGAGGCCUCUUCUCUCUGAGGACAGAUGGUAGGACAGAGAGAAGACAGCAAAUGGAAAACAAAGGCUGCUAUUUUUUUGUGGGGCAGCAUUUCUUCCUGUGACAAUAUGGUGUAAGACAAAAUUGUGGCCUGCCAUGAAGUUGUGAGAGAAAAGCAUCCCUCAUUUCUUCAGGAAAGGCCACUGCCGUUCCCUCCGGCUCCUCUUCUCAGGAGUUUGUGCAUC